rnacentral:lncRNA from 1 species
GAUUGUGGGACUCAGGAAAUGCGCGUCCGACAGAAGCGUGGCUGACAGCGUGACACCGAAACCCCAGCUCCACAGAAGAGAGAAGAAAAAAAAACGCAGUUUUAACGACGGCGCACCAAGACGCACCGCAAGUGACGAUUUCAGCAGAAAGCACCCAAACGUCAAGCUCAGACCAAUCCAAGACCACGAGCGUGGUUCUGUUUCACCUGUGUUCCUGUGUACAUGCACGGUGCAGAGCUGCGUGAUGGAAUUUUAAGCAGGAUGUAGAAAUAAGUCAUCUGCAGAGAGAUUCGUGCGUUGUCGCUCCACAACUACUCAAAUUUCUACCUGUCUGUGUAGAUAAGUCGUGUACACUGUUGUACGAGUGCACAUCUUUGAUUACAUGGUUCCAGAGGCACUGUUAUUCCCUUGCCUGCCUGUUCAGAUGUGUCAGACAAUGCUGAGCCAGAGAAAAACACCGGCAAUGAUGGAGAGAGUGUGUUCGAACAGAAACGUCGACCGUUUGUGGUUACACGCCACACGCUCCGCCGUCUUCGCCCUCUGCUUCAUCAUCCUUUUCACCUCUUCAAGUCCAUCUUCCGCGUGGCUGUCUACACAAUUUGAUCCUCAAAUGUGGUACCGCGAAACGGGCAACGCCCCACAAAAGGAAGGACUUCUCCCAGACCGCGUCAAAGGAGAGGAAAGACGAUCCUUGCAG